UACGUAGGGUGCAAGCGUUGUCCGGAAUUAUUGGGCGUAAAGAGCUCGUAGGCGGCUUGUCGCGUCGACUGUGAAAACCCGGGGCUCAACUCCGGGCCUGCAGCCGAUACGGGCAGACUAGAGUUCGGCAGGGGAGAGCGGAAUUCCCGGUGUAGCGGUGAAAUGCGCAGAUAUCGGGAAGAACACCGGUGGCGAAGGCGGCUCUCUGGGCCUGUCCUGACGCUCAGGCGCGAAAGCUAGGGGAGCGAACAGG
rnacentral:rRNA from 1 species